AGCGAACGCUGGCGGCAGGCCUAACACAUGCAAGUCGAGCGGCCGUAGCAAUACGGCAGCGGCAGACGGGAGAGUAACACGUGGGAACGCGCCCUUUGGUUCGGAAUAACUCAGGGAAACUUGAGCUAAUACCGGAUAAGCCCUUACGGGGAAAGAUUUAUCGCCAAAGGAACGGCCCGCGUCCGAUUAGCUAGUUGGUGAGGUAACGGCUCACCAAGGCGACGAUCGGUAGCUGGUCUGAGAGGAUGACCAGCCUCACUGGGACUGAGACACGGCCCAGACUCCUACGGGAGGCUG
rnacentral:rRNA from 1 species